rnacentral:rRNA from 1 species
AACUUACGCUAAUACCGCAUACGACCUACGGGUGAAAGCAGGGGACCUUCGGGCCUUGCGCGAUUGAAUGAGCCGAUGUCGGAUUAGCUAGUUGGCGGGGUAAAGGCCCACCAAGGCGACGAUCCGUAGCUGGUCUGAGAGGAUGAUCAGCCACACUGGAACUGAGACACGGUCCAGACUCCUACGGGAGGCAGCAGUGGGGAAUAUUGGACAAUGGGCGCAAGCCUGAUCCAGCCAUACCGCGUGGGUGAAGAAGGCCUUCGGGUUGUAAAGCCCUUUUGUUGGGAAAGAAAUCCAGCCGGCUAAUACCUGGUUGGGAUGACGGUACCCAAAGAAUAAGCACCGGCUAACUUCGUGCCAGCAGCCGCGGUAAUACGAAGGGUGCAAGCGUUACUCGGAAUUACUGGGCGUAAAGCGUGCGUAGGUGGUCGUUUAAGUCCGUUGUGAAANCCCUGGGCUCAACCUGGGAACUGCAGUGGAUACUGGGCGACUAGAAUGUGGUANAGGGUAGCGGAAUUCCUGGUGUAACANUGAAAUGC